AGAAUUCCGAGUUGCUUCAUUGUCUCCUAUUGAUUUCUUCCAUUGGUUUAUCUGCGGUUUCCAUAGGUGUUAAUUGCCACUUGUUACUGAAGCCUGCUACUGCAUUAUGCAUUCAAUCACUGAUUCACUUUCUCUUUCAGGGGCCCACCUGAUACAGGGAAGCAGCGGUUUGAUCCCCGCCCUUGUUAACUUUGUUACAGUGUAUAACUUACCUCUAAAACUAAAAUACAUUUAGUUAAAAGGUGAAGAGUAUAAAAUAUAAGCUACAAGAGUAAUGCCAUGGCACACAAAUAGAUAAAAAUGCCAAAAUACAAGGGGAGAUACAAAAUACACACAUGCGAACUUUAAAACACAAUUCUUAUAGUGAAAGAGGAAGGAAGAACCGGUAUAAGAGGAGAAACAUAUCCAAAGAGGGGAAAGCAAAUGCAGGCAAGAAGAAAAGGGGGCCUUCUGCUACAAAAGAGGAGAAGAGGGC